rnacentral:tRNA from 1 species
GCCUGGCUGGCUCAGUUGGAAGAGCAUGUGACUCUUGAUCUCGUGGUCGUGAGUUCAAGCCUCAUGCUGGGUA